CCUACGGGUGGCUGCAGUUGGGAAUCUUGCACAAUGGGGGAAAGCCUGAUGCAGCGACGCCGCGUGGAGGAAGAAGGGUCUAGGCUCGUCAACUCCUUUUUCAGGGAAGGACUCAGGACGGUAACCUGAGAAUAAGCUCCGGCUAACUACGUGCCAGCAGCCGCGGUAAGACGUAGGGAGCGAGCGUUGUCCGGAUUUACUGGGCGUAAAGAGCACGUAGGCGGUCUGUUAAGUGAGAAGUGAAAUCUCCAGCGCUCAACGCGGAAACGGCUUUUCAUACUGGCAGACUUGAGGAAUGCAGAGGCAAGUAGAAUUCCUGGUGUAGCGGUGACAUGGGUUGGUAUCAGGAGGAAUACCAACGGCGAAGGCAGCUUGCUGGGCAUCAUCUGACGCUGAGGUGCGAAAGCGUGGGUAGCAAACAGGAUUAGAUACCCCUGUAGUC
rnacentral:rRNA from 1 species